UCAAACCAAACACAGCCUAAAAGAAAAGAUAACCCCCUGGCUACUCUAGUAGUUACAAAAUCGACUUGCGUAUCACUUGCUAUUGCGGUGUCUCUUCAUCCUCUGCUCUGAGACCUGUACAGAUCACCUCUUUCAAUUUCUUUAACUUUUUAAUCUUUGAAUCUCUUCAGAAAAUCGAAGGCAAAGGUAUUUAACAUUGGAAGCGGGAUUUUCUCAAAGAAUGCGCAUUUAGUACCGCCAUUGACGUGCUCUCAAGAUCCUAGGUCGUUCAGAUGUUUGUUCAGACGUCUGACAAAUCAAGCUCUGUGUCACUAACGAUCAUAGCUGAGGUGGUUUCCUUCGAAUCUUUUGGAUGAUGGUUUUCUUGAAAUACAUGGUAUAAAUGAAUAGUGAGACAGGAAGUGAAAUUGAAUAUAUGGUAUAAAUGAAGCUGGAAUUUACCCUAAGAAAUAAAUGGCGAGACAGGAAGAGGGAAAGGGGAGGACCUUUUCAGCAAGGGCAUCCUGAAUUGUAUCAGUAUCAGUUGAGAUAGUGGAGAUGACCUGAUAUGUAGCAGUUGUGGAUGAAUUGCUGUCAAAGAAGCUAACAUCUUGUUGUAGGACAGCCUCGAGAUACCUCAACCUCAUCCGAGACGCCUGCCUUUCAGCAGUUCUUGUCCAACACAGUCCUUCUGCAUCCAUGAAUUACGCAAGUCAAAUUGGGACAAUGGUUACUGCAGGGUUCCCUUGACUAUGAUUUAAAUGAGAAGUAAAAAAGAAUAAUCAUAUAUUUGCAUCUUCUUAUAAAUCAUUAGCAUUUGCCCAGGUGAAGUCUAUUUCUUCAGAUUUACCUUUAUCUGUAAGCACAAAAUUUUGCUAUUGUUGUCAAAAAUAGUUAAAGUAUUGUAUAUUAAAGUUCUAUUGUGACAUUUCACGGUAAGAAACUGCUAUCAUUUUCAUAUGAGUUUAUGUGAACUUGCAAUGAUCUAACA